rnacentral:lncRNA from 12 species
GGGGGUUGGGGCAAUGGCCGGGUCUAUCCGCCGCUUCCGGCGCGUUGCCAUGGCUGCCCCCAUCAACUUCCGUCGUGCCGUGUGGGCGCGGGACUGCGGCGGAGGGUGGCCGCUGCAGUGAGGGACGGCCAUGCCCCCCAAGGCGGCCGACAAGCGCCGGCAGGGCCAAGGUGCAUCUUCAGGAGGAAAGGCAGGAAAAGCUGGUAAAGCUAAAAAACGGGAUGAAGAAACAUCUGAAACAGGAGAGGAUGGAUUGACAGCAAGGGCUGUAGUCAGAUCUCCAGAUCAGCUGAGGCUAACUGAAGCUGAAUUAAAAGCGGAAAUUACACGUACCUUGACAGCUGAUAAUCCCCAUAUUCCCCGGGAUAUUGUCAGAUUCAGCUUUAUAGUAAGUGUGGCAUGACCCAUGAAACCAGAAUUUUUUGCAAUUAAUUGUUUUUGUGUUUUCCUUUGGUUUAUA